rnacentral:rRNA from 1 species
AUUGAACGCUGGCGGCAUGCCUUACACAUGCAAGUCGAACGGCAGCACGGGUGCUUACACCUGGUGGCGAGUGGCGAACGGGUGAGUAAUACAUCGGAACGUACCUUAUCGUGGGGGAUAACGCAGCGAAAGCUGUGCUAAUACCGCAUACGCCCUGAGGGGAAAGCGGGGGAUCGCAAGACCUCGCGCGAUUAGAGCGGCCGAUGCCUGAUUAGCUAGUUGGUGGGGUAAAAGCCCACCAAGGCGACGAUCAGUAGCUGGUCUGAGAGGACGAUCAGCCACACUGGGACUGAGACACGGCCCAGACUCCUACGGGAGGCAGCAGUGGGGAAUUUUGGACAAUGGGGGCAACCCUGAUCCAGCAAUGCCGCGUGAGUGAAGAAGGCCUUCGGGUUGUAAAGCUCUUUUGUCAGGGAAGAAACACCGGCUCUAACACAGUCCGGGAAUGACGGUACCUGAAGAAUAAGCACCGGCUAACUACGUGCCAGCCGCCGCCGUAA